GUCCCGUUUGUGGGUGGGGGUGAGGCGUAAUCUGAUUAAUGAAAGUGUAUAGCUCCGUCCAGGAGCCCCUGAAGAAACGACACUCUCAAUUUAGUGAAAUUGUACGAAGGAUCUCUGGAGAAUUCUCUCGAAGAAAUAAUAAAGAGAAAGAAUCUAAUGUAUUUUUUCAAACGCUCACGAACGAAUCGAAUCGAAUCGAAUCGGAACGAUAAAAGUUUGGUCGUAAGAUGCCAAGAACGACGAUAAAAUAUGAUGGUUCGUAGGAAACGACGCGCAACAUUCCGUUUAUAGGAUAUUGGCACAAUACUAAUUUUAAUUAAAAGGGUCGAAGAAAUGGCGGGUGUGGUGGAAAUUGUAGAUCCAAGUGAGGCGAGGAUGGUUCUAUGUGGCUCCUCUCGUGCCAACCGUGAUCUGCGACUGGAGCGUGGUAUAAUCCGUAAUUUACACCA